ensembl:lncRNA
GUACUAUUUUCUAUAUAGUAAACUAGUAUGCCAGUAUUGGGACCAACUGGGACAUACUACCUUGUCAGAAAGAAAAAUGGUAAAGAAAAUGGUUAAAUACUGCUAUAGAAAUAGCAAUGGACAAGAAGAUGUACUGUCCAACUUUAUUCAGUGAAUCUCAUGUAAACUUGCUCUACUGCUUAAACUUUCCAGACACUGAAUCUCUUUCCAGACCCAUUUGGGCCACUGCGAGGCUAAAAUCAAAUCCAGAAUUGGUUUCUUAUUUUGCUACAAAGCUUCUUUCACCCAUGUCUCACAACAUACUAAUGUAUAACUGCCCAUUCUACCAGUUCUGGAUUUUGGCUGUGUAAUUUAUAGGCUUGCUACUAACAUUCCCCUCAAUGAAUUAGAUAUAGUUUAUCACAACACCGUUUUUUACUUUUAAUAGCAUUUCAUUUCAGAAUAAUACGAUAUAUCAAUUGUAUUUAGCAUGAUUUCUUGCCAAAAGAAAAUAAUUGACAUUUAAUUAUUAAAGUACAGCAUGGCAGUAAUUCAAUGUCCACCAGGGGGCCGUAUGUCACAGGGAUGUAAAUGCACCGACUGGUUUUGAUCACCAGUGCUUGACUAAAGCGAGUGAAGCUAAAUACAAGCACCUCACUUGCUCUACUGCUGGUGUUCAGAUUUCCCAAGUUCUCCCAUGUAACCCCACUCCACUGGCUUCCAGCAGAAUUUGGCAUCUGUUAUAAGACCAUAGUACUUUGCUAAGGUAUAGCUUGGGAAAAUACUCCCUGACUUCAGGCAAUGAUCAAUCCCUACGUCCCUCCAUGACUUCAGGCAAUGAUCAAACCCUACGUCCCUCCAUGACUUCAGGCAAUGAUCAAACCCUACAUCCCUCCCUCACUUCAGGCAAUGAUCAAACCCUACGUCCCUCCAUGACUUCAGGCAAUGAUCAAACCCUACGUCCCUCCAUGACUUCAGGCAAUGAUCAAACCCUACUUCCCUCCAUGACUUCAGGCAAUGAUCAAACCCUACGUCCCUCCAUGACUUCAGGCAAUGAUCAAACCCUACGUCCCUCUAUGACUUCAGGCAAUGAUCAAACCCUACGUCCCUCUAUGACUUCAGGCAAUGAUCAAUCCCUACGUCUCUCUAUGACUUCAGGCAAUGAUCAAUCCCUACGUCCCUCUAUGACUUCAGGUAGUGAUCAAACCCUACAUCCCUCCCUGAGGUUUUCUGCCACCUCUUGUUGUCGUCACACCUCUGCAUGAUGGCAGCUCUGUCCAGGAA